rnacentral:rRNA from 1 species
GACGAACGCUGGCGGCGUGCUUAACACAUGCAAGUCGAACGAAGAGCGAUGGAAGCUUGCUUCUAUCAAUCUUAGUGGCGAACGGGUGAGUAACGCGUAAUCAACCUGCCCUUCAGAGGGGGACAACAGUUGGAAACGACUGCUAAUACCGCAUACGAUCUAAUCUCGGCAUCGAGGAUAGAUGAAAGGUGGCCUCUACAUGUAAGCUAUCGCUGAAGGAGGGGAUUGCGUCUGAUUAGCUAGUUGGAGGGGUAACGGCCCACCAAGGCGAUGAUCAGUAGCCGGUCUGAGAGGAUGAACGGCCACAUUGGGACUGAGACACGGCCCAGACUCCUACGGGAGGCAGCAGUGGGGAAUCUUCCGCAAUGGACGAAAGUCUGACGGAGCAACGCCGCGUGAGUGAUGACGGCCUUCGGGUUGUAAAGCUCUGUUAAUCGGGACGAAAGGCCUUCUUGCGAAUAGGGAGAAGGAUUGACGGUACCGGAAUAGAAAGCCACGGCUAACUACGUG